GUAAUGUAACAGGAUUGCAAGUGCAACCCCCCCCCCCGCCCCCAACCCAGCAGAAUAUAAAGGAAAAUUUGUUUGAUAUUUUUCUCAAAAUGGCGACUGUGUUGAUGUGGGUAGUAAAGGCCUGUUGUUUUCCAGUCCUGGCUCUCGGACCCGACAAAUACGUUUGGGGCCGAUGGUAUCUGUAUUCAGCCAGCAUUGCGAGGGGGAGGUAUCUAGAAAAUGGCGAUGUCAUCUUUGCUGCAAGCUAUCAAGAUGGCUGCUCCGUUUUUCCGCGUCGCUACAUUUUAGCCCUGAGAUCAGAGGUCCGCUUGAAGAAUGAACACACGGCGCGCAAUCUCGCCUCGCGUUUCUCACCCGAUGUUACGCUCUAAAUUUCUUUUAAAAAAACAGUCAAAAAAAAAAACCACGGUGUCGUGGAGACGGAACUUUAGAAGGUGAUUCACUUUCCUGUUUCUUUCGCUUUGGUGCUCAACCGCAGAUGAGUAACGGUUCUCGUAAUUCACCCUUGUUGCUCUUUCUGCUAAUGCAAUGCACACAUUGUAUCUUCUGCGAGAAGUACGUUGCUUCAGAGAAAAGCGUCCGCUCAACGAAUAGAUGCGCGCGCGAAAAUGUUCGGAGAGCAAGGCCCUGGGAAAGAUGUCAACGCCUUUGCGUUCCGGGAGAGUGUGUUAUGAGCACUGCGUUCGUCAAAGGAGCGGCGGCAGCGAAGCGAGGCCCGGCGGUCCAGCGAGGCGAGCGUUCUCACCAGCUGCAGCAGGACACAGCUGGAGGUGCAAGUACGCCCCCUGGACAGGAUGCCGGUCCAUUGCAGGGAAGGGCCAGC
rnacentral:lncRNA from 1 species